rnacentral:rRNA from 1 species
UAGGGAAUCUUCCACAAUGGGCGAAAGCCUGAUGGAGCAACGCCGCGUGAGUGAAGAAGGUUUUCGGAUCGUAAAGCUCUGUUGUUGGUGAAGAAGGAUAGAGGUAGUAACUGGCCCCUAUUUGACGGUAAUCAACCAGAAAGUCACGGCUAACUACGUGCCAGCAGCCGCGGUAAUACGUAGGUGGCAAGCGUUGUCCGGAUUUACUGGGUGUAAAGGGUGCGUAGGCGGUUUGGUAAGUCAGAAGUGAAAUCCAUGGGCUUAACCCAUGAACUGCUUUGAAACUGUAUCUCUUGAGUGCUGGAGAGGUAGACGGAAUUCCUUGUGUAGCGGUGAAAUGCGUAGAUAUAAGGAAGAACACCAGUGGCGAAGGCGGUCUACUGGACAGUAACUGACGCUGAGGCGCGAAAGCGUGGGGGAGCAAACAGGAUUAGAUACC